UACGGAAGGCAGCAGUGGGGAAUAUUGCACAAUGGGCGAAAGCCUGAUGCAGCUAUGCCGCGUGUAUGAAGAAGGCCUUAGGGUUGUAAAGUACUUUCAUCGGGGAGGAAAAAAACAAAACUAAUAAUUUUAUUUCUUGACGUUACCCGAAAAAGAAGCACCGGCUAACUCCGUGCCAGCAGCCGCGGUAAUACGGAGGGUGCUAGCGUUAAUCAGAAUUACUGGGCGUAAAGAGCACGUAGGUGGUUUUUUUAAGUUCAGAUGUGAAAUCCCUGGGCUUAACCUAGGAACUGCAUUUUGAAACUGAAAUAACUAGAGUAUCGUAGAGGGAGGUAGAAUUCUAGGUGUAGCGGUGAAAUGCGUAGAUAUCUGGAGGAAUACCUGUGGCGAAAGCGGCCUCCUAAACGAAAUACUGACACUGAGGUGCGAAAGCGUGGGGAGCAAACAGGAUUAGAUACC
rnacentral:rRNA from 1 species